rnacentral:rRNA from 1 species
GGACGGGUGAGUAAUGUCUGGGAAACUGCCUGAUGGAGGGGGAUAACUACUGGAAACGGUGGCUAAUACCGCAUAACGUCGCAAGACCAAAGAGGGGGACCUUCGGGCCUCUUGCCAUCAGAUGUGCCCAGAUGGGAUUAGCUUGUUGGUGAGGUAACGGCUCACCAAGGCGACGAUCCCUAGCUGGUCUGAGAGGAUGACCAGCCACACUGGAACUGAGACACGGUCCAGACUCCUACGGGAGGCAGCAGUGGGGAAUAUUGCACAAUGGGCGCAAGCCUGAUGCAGCCAUGCCGCGUGUAUGAAGAAGGCCUUCGGGUUGUAAAGUACUUUCAGCGGGGAGGAAGGUGUUGUGGUUAAUAACCGCAGCAAUUGACGUUACCCGCAGAAGAAGCACCGGCUAACUCCGUGCCAGCAGCCGCGGUAAUACGGAGGGUGCAAGCGUUAAUCGGAAUUACUGGGCGUAAAGCGCACGCAGGCGGUCUGUCAAGUCGGAUGUGAAAUCCCCGGGCUCAACCUGGGAACUGCAUUCGAAACUGGCAGGCUUGAGUCUUGUAGAGGGGGGUAGAAUUCCAGGUGUAGCGGUGAAAUGCGUAGAGAUCUGGAGGAAUACCGGUGGCGAAGGCGGCCCCCUGGACAAAGACUGACGCUCAGGUGCGAAAGCGUGGGGAGCAAACAGGAUUAGAUACCCUGGUAGUCCACGCCGUAAACGAUGUCUACUUGGAGGUUGUGCCCUUGAGGCGUGGCUUCCGGAGCUAACGCGUUAAGUAGACCGCCUGGGGAGUACGGCCGCAAGGUUAAAACUCAAAUGAAUUGACGGGGGCCCGCACAAGCGGUGGAGCAUGUGGUUUAAUUCGAUGCAACGCGAAGAACCUUACCUGGUCUUGACAUCCACAGAAGAAUCCAGAGAUGGAUUUGUGCCUUCGGGAACUGUGAGACAGGUGCUGCAUGGCUGUCGUCAGCUCGUGUUGUGAAAUGUUGGGUUAAGUCCCGCAACGAGCGCAACCCUUA